UACGGAGGGGGCUAGCGUUGUUCGGAAUUACUGGGCGUAAAGCGCACGUAGGCGGCUUCGUAAGUCAGAGGUGAAAUCCCGGGGCUCAACCCCGGAACUGCCUUUGAGACUGCAUCGCUUGAAUCCAGGAGAGGUGAGUGGAAUUCCGAGUGUAGAGGUGAAAUUCGUAGAUAUUCGGAAGAACACCAGUGGCGAAGGCGGCUCACUGGACUGGUAUUGACGCUGAGGUGCGAAAGCGUGGGGAGCAAACAGG
rnacentral:rRNA from 1 species